GGGACUUACAACUUCACCUGUGUGUAAGAAAUUGCACUCAGGUACAAAAUGGAUUGGGUGACCUAUUUGACAGCUACCAAGAUUAGAAGAAAAACACUGACAAUUGCAGUGUUAAGUUUAGUGUUUUGUAGUGCAUCAGCUGAUUCAGCAAACUCACAUACAACUGCAACAACUGAAUUUAUGACUGUGACAUCAUACACACCUGCACAAACGACACAGUUCUGCUUAGAACUGACACAACAGCAUAUACAAUACUGCUCAACAACAGCUGAAACCACUGCCGAACCUACAACUACAACUCAAGUUACAUCUACAGCACCUCCUACAGACACAACAACAAGACUUAUAUCUACAGCUGAACCAACAACCACAACUGUUUUAACAUCUACAACUAAACCAACAACCACAACCUCAUCAUCUACAAAUGAACAAUCAAC